rnacentral:rRNA from 1 species
GACGAACGCUGGCGGCGUGCUUAACACAUGCAAGUCGAACGGAAAGGCCCUGCUUUUGUGGGGUGCUCGCGUGGCGAACGGGUGAGUUACACGUGAGUAUCCUGCCCUUGACUUUGUGAUAACUUCAGGAAACUGCUGCUACUACCUGAUAGGUGCUCCUGCUGCAUGGUGGGGGUUGGAACGUUUCGGCGGUUGUGGAUGGACUCGGGGCUUAUUAGCUUGUUGGUGGGGUAGUUGCUUACCCAGGCUUUGGAGGGUAGCCGGCCUGGGAGGGGUACCGGCGACAUGGGGACUGAGAGACGGCCCAGACUCGUACGGGAGGCAGCAGGGGGGAAUAUGGCACAAUGGGCGGAAGCCUGAUGCAGAAACGCCGCGUGCGGGAUGAAGGCCUUCGGGGUGUAAACCGCUGUCGCCUGUGACGAAGCGUGAGUGACGGUAAUGGGUAAAGAAGCACCGGCUAACUACGUG